rnacentral:siRNA from 1 species
UCCCUCCCAACGUGACUCGAACC